CUCGUAGGCGGUUCGUCGCGUCCGGUGUGAAAGUCCAUCGCUUAACGGUGGAUCCGCGCCGGGUACGGGCGGGCUUGAGCGCGGUAGGGGAGACUGGAAUUCCCGGUGUAACGGUGGAAUGUGUAGAUAUCGGGAAGAACACCAAUGGCGAAGGCAGGUCUCUGGGCCGUUACUGACGCUGAGGAGCGAAAGCGUGGGGAGCGAACA
rnacentral:rRNA from 1 species